rnacentral:misc_RNA from 1 species
GGCCUCCCCUCCCGGCGCCGGCCCCCACCACGGGGACGGGGCGCCCGCCGGAGGAAACCAAACUCUAUUUACACGACGUCUCUUCUGAGUGGCACAAGCAAAUAAUUAAAACUUUUAACAACGGAUCUCUUGGUUCUGGCAUCGAUGAAGAACGCAGCGAAAUGCGAUAAGUAAUGUGAAUUGCAGAAUUCAGUGAAUCAUCGAAUCUUUGAACGCACAUUGCGCUCGCCAGCAUUCUGGCGAGCAUGCCUGUUCGAGCGUCAUUUCAACCCUCAAGCACCGCUUGGUUUUGGGGCCCCACGGCCGACGUGGGCCCUUAAAGGUAGUGGCGGACCCUCCCGGAGCCUCCUUUGCGUAGUAACUAACGUCUCGCACUGGGAUCCGGAGGGACUCUUGCCGUUAAACCCCCAAAUUCUUUACAGGUUGACCUCGGAUCAGGUAGGAAUACCCGCUGAACUUAAGCAUAUCAA